UCUAGAAAUAUCCUCCUUUUCCAGAUAGGCUUUUGUAAAGUGAGGACUGUAGCCAAUCGGCUUUCGCUCGGGGGGUAUGCCUCGUGUUAAAUCGGGCUUGCUACCCGCCUGUAUUUAGCACCAUCACCAUACAGAGCAUGUAAGACGAUGCAAGUCACGCAGAUAUUCAUCGGUAAUGAAAUUCGAAGAUCGUGCCAUACAAGUACAGACAGAAGCGUACAUUAAACGAUCCACAGUCCAUAAUAUUGUUAUUAUUAUUUUCUGUACCGUCUUGCCAGCGUAUAAUUAUGGUCUACUACACAAUACCGCAAAAGCUCAUAUAAUUAUACGGCAAGAGAAAACAGUGGUGAUCGGAUCGAAAUUCUUGCGCAUUUAAGAGAAUUUUGUGGAUGAUGAAUCCGGACAGCCGACUUAUAAAGCACUCCUUCGGGUUUGUUUUAUUAAUCUGUAUUAGUAUCGCCAGUGUUUCUCGUUCAUUACGGAAUUUUUGCACGACGUUUGCCACUUAGCCACGAAAAUGCGUUUUUUUUGUGUUUUUUUGUGUCGUAUCAGUUUCUUUUGUUUGUCAAGAUAAUUCGUUUUGUCUACGUGCACAAAUUUAAUCUCUACUAGUGAUUAUUCCAACUGUUUUAUAGUAUCUGCUUUGGCUUCCAUGGCCAUCGUACAGCGCAAUGCAAACAAGAGACCAAACCGAUCGAUACCGGAACACAAGCUGCCCGCGCACUUACGAUCCACUCUGUGUGGAACAAACGAGAAGACAUCCGCCAACCUGUGCGAGUUAUGCACUGUCCAGUGGCUAUUAAUGUUCAUUGCCAGAUUCGUAGAUGGGUCGUUUUGCAUAGGGUGAUGAUUAUCCCGCUACGCAGAGCGGCGAAUCUGGCACUGAAAUCGCAGCACGCAGGUACGUACUCGUUUGGGCCAACGUGAUACGUAUCGCCAUAACUAAUGUGCUCAAAUAAAUAUGCCUGUUACACCUUAUCACUUUAAAAUUAAUAAAAGAUAGAGUAUUUUAAGAGAUGACUCACGCUAAUUGUGAAGUCUGAUACUCUGUUAUUCUGUGCUGACGACUGUGACGGUCACACUGCAAUGGUUCUGGGGCCGAACACCGUGAUCACAGUGUGACCAUGGUGACAAGCCACAAAACCAAUCGUAGGGAAGGCGACAGCGCUAAUGGGUACCGUCUAUAUUCGUGCGGCGACGCCGAUGGGUAUCCGGACAACUGCCUCAUUGCGCCGUAAAGCGGUAUGGUUAAGGCUUGAUGUUAAAUUCAUUCAUUCAGUCAUUCAUUGUAUCAGGAGCAGACAACCCGGUAAACAGGACUUCAAUGUCUGGUCGGUAAAAAGGAAAAGAGCUAAAUAUUACUAAGGAGAUUUUCAAAACAGAUAAACACUUUUCAGAGCGAACUUCAAAAAGCCGACACCGCUAACAUUGAGUAUCUCUUCAUCAACUUUUUGAAUCCGCUCAAAAACGUUCUUCAACCGCAUGGAUUCCAGCGAUAUACGGGUUUUGUCGCUGUGCUGCCACUGUCAUCGCCCAUGAUCACAUUACCUUUUAUGGUUAUUAUGCUCGUACGCGUAGCAGGGUAGCGCGAACGCCCGCACGUACGAAGGCCAAUAAUGAUUUCUGAUAAACUCGCUUCCGAAGUUAUAUUACUUGUUAGUUGUUACAAUUUCUGUUUAGAGCUUUUGCGAACUGCUUGACAAAUUGGUCGGAAUCUGAUACGAAUGUGUUAAAGAUUAGGUCGGGCUUUACGGCACGUCUAAUUACAAGGACAAUAAUUGCACAUAACGGACCAUGUUGCUCAUUGCCAUUGCCUUGCUAAAAUUACUGCAUUAUCUUCUUUCCUAAUUUGUGAAGCGUUGAGCCAAGAGUUGUAAAGCAGUAGGCGGCAAACACGAAAUCGUAGUUUAAUUCAAUUACCGACACAACGGUCCAAGAAUCAGGUGUUUAGUUCAAGCGGGACACGAACGAUAUUACGGAGCAACGCGCAUGACCAUCUGAUAGCUAACUUACAGAAUGAGUCCAGAUAGCCAAUAAGACAAAACAGUACGCAUUGUUGCACAAAACAGAAAACACUGAUUAAAAAAAUGAGCAAAAUUCUGCCCAAAGGCAGACAUUGUUGCUAAAUUUUGACCGAGCGAUCACUAAUGUUCUCGGCUGCUUUUUUACGGCAGCAGCCAUAAAAUAUGACACACGCCUCAAUAAACGGCCCAAGGUUGUUUUUUGUUGUCCACUGUUGUCAUUUUAACCCGAGCAGACAAGCGUCAUCUGACCCGACAUUUUUUGCGAACGGAUAUUGUUGAGAAAAAGCGCAAUAAUUAUUUGUUAUGCAUUGCUUAUUUUUCAAAACACCACACGGAUUGAUUUUUAUGUCACCGGUGAACAAUUUUCUGGCCGCUGUUUCAUGGCUGCUUUCUGCCAAUUUUGCGCUAAACACGGAAUAACAUCGUUUUCCUGGCAAUAAUAGUUUAUGUUUAUGCGUUGUUUAUGCAAUCAUCGACUAUUUAAGCAAGCGGAUGCUUAUCAGUCUGUAUAAAAAAAAUCUUCAAUAAACGUUUUUGAUCUGCAAUUUCGAUACAAAAUGGCAACGCAAAUAGUUUUCCUAACCCUUCUGGUCCUCGCCACGUGCGCCUAUGCCACUCGCUUCAGGGUCAACAAGGGCUGCGUCGAUUUCCAACAACGGGGUGCCGGUAUGCACAGUCAGUGCUCGGGGACCGGGGCUAACGUCAGCCCUCCCAUCACCGUUUGGGGACAGCUGGGAGGCGGCAAGGGAAAAACGGUACGAGCCGGUUGCAAGAAGGAAUUCAACUGGCCUUCCAACUACGGGGAGGUCUUCUAUGGAGCGGACAACUGCCUGUACGACGCCAAAGGCGGAAGAAUUAAUGGCCAGUGCUGCGACGGUGGCGGCGGCGAGGAGGUGCCUAAUCCGUACCGCAGUGGCUAGUAGCAACUCUCCCGAAGUCACUUCCCGGUCUCCUGAAUCAUGGUCCGUACAAAGAAUGGCUACAACUUGUUGAUAAGACUUUGAAUGCUGCAACGACUGUUCUUGUAAACUAGAACCUUGCUGUUUAAUCAGCGCAUAUCAGUAACAUAACGAAUUUUAUUAUUAUAGCUUUGCAUGCUCUUUACAUCAUGUACAGAUGCUAUGAAUGAUGGACCUAUCGUUUUUGGUUUUUCAUUCUACUGCCUAGUCCGGCUUCUUAAUGUACGUACGAAUACUCUGUAUAGCGAUAGAUACAAACAG